UGAGGAAUAUUGGUCAAUUGACGCAAGUCUGAACCAGCCAAGUAGCGUGCAGGAUGACGGCCCUAUGGGUUGUAAACUGCUUUUAUAUGGGGAUAAAGUGGGGAACGUGUUCCCUUUUGCAGGUACCAUAUGAAUAAGGACCGGCUAAUUCCGUGCCAGCAGCCGCGGUCAUACGGAAGGUUCGGGCGUUAUCCGGAUUUAUUGGGUUUAAAGGGAGCGUAGGCCGUUUGGUAAGCGUGUUGUGAAAUGUAGGAGCUCAACUUCUAGAUUGCAGCGAGAACUGUCAGACUUGAGUGGGCAGAACGUAGGCGGAAUUAAUGGUGUAGCGGUGAAAUGCUUAGAUAUCAUGAAGAAAUCCGAUUGCGAAGGCAGCUUACGGGAGCGCAAAUGACGCUGAAGCCCGAAGGUGCGGGUAUCGAACAGG
rnacentral:rRNA from 1 species